GAGAGCACAGUACGAUGAAAGUUGUAUGCUGUGUUCGGGGGGGAAUUAUUGUCUAUCGUUGGCCUCUAUGGUAGAAUCAGUCGGGGACCUGAGAGGCGGUGGUUUACCCUGC
rfam:Ipomoea nil DNA, scaffold: scaffold1873, cultivar: Tokyo-kokei standard.